UUAAGGCUCUAUUUAUUUAUCGAUAAUAUUCGGUUGAGUUCCGAUGAGUAAUCUAGAAUGUUCACGAAUCUGAAGAGGCUAUUAAAGUUUGCUUCGUUGUCUAUGAUGAUGGAGUUGUUUUUCAUGAAAUCCACUACUACCUUCCUGGUCACAGCUUUAUACAUGAAAAAUUAUAUCAAUUUGGCAAAAUAAUCGAUAGCGACGAAAAUGAGUAUGUGUCUAUUUGAGUUUGAUAAAUCUAUGGGUAAAUUAAUAUUCGUGCCCCAGACUACGAAGGGCCAACGUGAACUUAUAGCAUUAAGCUCAUGUGGAGCAUACUAAUCAAAUCUCUAUAUAUCUGCCACUUUUGACAUUUUUGAACAUAUUUUCUAUGGUCAUCAUCAAUUGUCAUCCAAAAGUAACAGUCUCAGAGAAUUUUCCUGAAUAGAGUGAACCUAUUCAUUUGAGGCCCAUAAACUUUGGCACGUAUCCCCACUAAUAGUUUUGUGGCUUAAAUGGAUUCUGUGCAUCUUAAUAAUCCUAAGUUUGGGGUUCUCCUAUAAAGUACCUCCUCAGUUGGGAAUUAUUUCUUCAUCAACCAUCUAAUUGUCUUUCACUGAUUGUUGUUAGCAUCUUUGGGGUAUACUAUAGAUUCUAAAUACGUUUUGUUGAACUACUGUGGCUUCCCAUCAGCUUCCACUUCAACGUGUACACAAUAUCCGAGCUGCUACCUCUCGCUUAUCUAUAAUAGAUUGAUGUAAAUUUUAUCCUGGUUUUGAAUUAUAGAAUAUCAAAAACAUCAGUAGGAUAUGUCUUAAAUUGAUUUCCUUACACUUUCCAUACAAAUCAUUCACUAAUUCUGCAUAAGUUGUGAUCUUAGAAUUUCUUACAUCCCGUAAACACCUAAUUUUAUUCCUGCCAAGUUCAAUUUUAUUUAUUUUUACCUCACUUUAUUGUACAACUUCGUUCAUGUAAUUAUACCCCAUAAAAAUACAAAAAUAAGAAACUCCCUAAUAAAUUAAAUCUCUAACAUUCCCUUAUUCCAACGAACCUUAUCCUAACAAUCUACCCCACUACACUACCCCACCUAACCCCACCCUCCUCAAACUCACGUUUUUCAUUCAUUCCUGAACGGAAGAAUAGAAUCCACUGAAUAUCCAUACAGUAAAGGGAGACAGAGGAGGGGGAUGUUUCUUUUCUUUUGAUUCAGCACAUAGACACCCAUAUAUUUAAUACACACAGCCACACAGUGAGGGACGGAGAGAGAGACGAGAGAGGAAGCAGAGAAAAACGAAGAGGGAGAGAUCGAAAUCGAAAAAAAAAAAAGAGGAAAAUAGAGAGAAACAGAGAUUGGGGACGAAACCAGUGAGUUUGAGGAGAAAAACAAAUAGAAAUCGAGGUGUUGAAUAGAAACAGUGCAAAUUCGGUUGAUUUUGGGGUUUUCCGGCAAUUUAUCGCCGGAAAAAGUUACUGUCGGCCGAAAUCUGAGCGUCUUCUCCGUUUUCCAUUCUUUCUGAACUCGCCGGAGCUCCGGCGAGACGAAAACAACUUCAUCAGCUUAAAACCAACUCAUAAACCGUGUCUUGCUCGUAUCGGUAUUAGAUUUGGACAUCUUUGUUUCGUUGGUUAUCUAUCUUCGUCUUCUUCGUGGGUUUAAAUCUUUCCGGUUGCUAUUUUUGAGUUGAGUUGGCUCGUUGUUGAGGCUUUGUCAUUCGAGGCAUUUCAGUCGGAGCUCUAAUCGAAUACUUUGACGGAUUGAAAUAAAAAUCAGGACAACAACAAAUCAACAAAAUGGACAACCCAUAUGGAAGACAAAAGCAAUGGCUAUGGCAUUAAAGAAUGACAAGUACUAAGAAGCAAGUGUUUAAUCCAAUCAAGAAGAAAUAUUCAAGAAAGAUGAAACUUCCAAGAUGACUCACUGAAGAGCAGGACAUCAAAUAAAAGAAAAGAACAAAGUAAUAAAUUCCCUACAACAAAGUCAAGUCCAAGCCUCAUUUGUAAGAAUUCAAGGCAGAAGAGAAUAAAGGAAGAAAUCUGCCACCAAAAGUCAAGGUGUGACUGCCAUAUUCUUUGAAAAAGGAUUCUCAAUUACCUUUUUCCAAGGAUCAAAAAAAUCUCGUGUUGCUAUCUUUUCAAGUUUUCCAAUGGCUAGCUUCUAUACAAAUAUAAAGAAGCCACUAGAAAAUCAGUAAGAACAUACAAACAAUCUUGGCCUCCUACAAGUCUUUGCUGUACUUGUAAAUAAGUAGUGUACUACUUAGUGUUUUAUGAUGAAACAAUAAAAGAGAGGAGAGAAAAAUACUAUUGGUGAGGCAUUGUAUUAAAGAGUAAAAAAGAAAAGAAAAGAAAAAAAGUGAGAAGAAAAAAUUGAGUGUAGUAGUAUGAACUCUAUUCUCGAAGUUGUACCAACCGAAACCUUGGAAAAACAUUGAAGUGAAGACACUUACUGCUCAUUGGAUCUCAACCAAUAUAAAA